GGCGAGCACACACUCCCCUCUGCAGGGGCGCCUCUGGUCCGUGCUUUGCACGCGGCCCUGGCACUUGUGCAUUUGCACCACGUCUGUGUUCGCCGGGACACGGGGCCUGUGGGGAAGCGCGCGAGGCUUCGCAGUGCCCAGACCUUGGCGAGACCGACCCCCGGAGCCCGGGAGGUUCACUUCCUGGCGCGGAGGGGUGGGGUGUGCGCUGCACCCCGGGCGCCUGGGUUCCAAGUCCUGGGCCCUGGAGACCCCUCCCCUCAGAAGAGCAGCCUGUCCUUCCAAAGCCCCAGCCUCCUCGUCUGAGGAGGCCUCAUCACGUGGUCGGGGCCACACCUAUGCCCAGAUCUCCCUGUGCCCCUGGCUCUCCUCUCUCAAGACUCUGCCUGGCAUCUCCCCCUCCUCUCUGAAGCCCUGCACAUCUGUGCAGGAGUCACCAACUACUUCUGAGCUCCACACAGUGCCAGGCACUUAGCACCCCCACCUACCUUGGCACUGACCAGUCCUACCCCCCUCAUUUCCCCCAUAGCAUCAAGAAAGAGUUCUGGCCAGAGCCUCAUUUUAUCAACAAGGAAAGUGAAGCUCAGAGAAGUUAAAGAAUUGUACAAGGUCACACAGCACAGUGCAUGAGAAUCAGACACAAGCAAGACUCAUGUCCAGCUACCUUACCCACCAGGCCACACGGCUUCCAGGUUGUAAGUGGCCAGCCAGUCUUGUGAGCCCCUCCCUGAUGGACCUCAGAGGCCUGGGCACUUCCAUCCCCCACAGAUGAGAGGAUGAGGCCUGGGACAAAGGGAGGGGCUUCUGCCCUCUUGAUGGAGGACCUUCAACUCACCCUUGCUCCAGGCGGAGCAUGUCUAGGCCUGGGGACCUCUGAGUCUACCCCAGCGGGGACACUGUGAAGCCCCCACCUUCCCAUUGCCACACAGCGCUGGCCUGGCAGCCCCACGGGAGACCAGGAUGCCUGCCAACGGGCACAGCUCGGGUGUGCUUCCCCUUGGCACGGGCCUGCGUGGGGGGACCAUGUGGCUUUGAUUUAAAUUUCACGCUGGAGAAACAAUGGUUUGGAUUAAGGAAGAAACAGUUGGUGAAGUGUCAUGAAAGGAAAGGAGGAGACGGAGGCCCUGGUCACCAAAGUGGGCCCCAAACUUUGAAGCCCACAUUCCAGAGGUUUCUCGGGGCUGCCGUCCCGUCACCUCCUGCCCAGUGGCUCCUGACCUCUUCAGCCGCACACACGAGGCUUCCCGAGGCCGGGGCUGGGCGGGCUGUGGCCGGGGCCUGGCCCCUCCUCUUACAGAAGGGGAAGCUGGGGGUCAGAGAGGACCCACCACCUGCCCGGGAUGAUGAUGGUUCUGAUGGCUUCUGUGAAGGCCUGGGGGGAACGAGGCUGACUCCUCCCGUUCUGUUGGCCCGGGGCUCAGCCUCAGUUUCCCCACCGAGAAGGGAGAAGGACGCUACAGAAUCUGCCGUCUCCCCUGGAGCCCAGGCACCCGGGGAGGGCUGGCGAGCGUUGGAGUACUUCCUGGACUCUGGGCAGGGCGCGUCCCCAACACCGUCCACACCGAGGCCCCAGCUCCCGGACCCCCACUGCACAGACCAGCAAACGGGGCUCUGACAGGCUGCGGGGUUCACUCCCUCCCCUGGAUGGACGCGCAGUUGGCUCUGGGGCUGGGUCCUGUGGCCAAGGGUGUGUGUGUUGGGUGGGGCUGGACAGGCAGAGCUGCAGCGGUGUGGAGACGUGCCCCCCACGUGCUGCGGCAUCACCAGUGCCCAGCGCCGGGCAGGUCCUCCCUGGUCGGGUGAGGAGGGGUUCCCGGGCCUGGCCCAGCCGCGUCUCCUGAGGGCCGCCCAGGGCUCUGUGGUGUCUUCUGGGCCGCCCUGGAACCACGCAGCCGACUUCCCCAGGGGGUGACCGCCCUGGCCUCCUGGUCAGCCCAGGGUGGGCUCUUCCACGCCCCUCCAGCUCCAGGCCUCUGGCUGUGGUUUCUGGCUCUGCCUGGGCAGGGCUGGGCUCGGUGUGCGGCAGGGGCUGUGGGGCAGGAAUCGGGCUCGUCUGUGGCCAGGGUCAAGGCCGAGGAGCUGAAGGCCAUGGGCCGGCUGUAGAGCACCAGAUGGAUUCAAACCCCGGGACCGGCGUUGCUCGUGGUGGGGGUACAGGAGCCACCGGGGCCGGGACAGAGGCGGAGGCUGGCUGGAGCCUGCGGGGAGAGGUGGCCACGGGCAGUGCCCCCACUGUCCCCCGAGCCUGCCAGGGCUGCGUGGCCGUGGCCAUCUUAUGGGGGUCCAUGGGUGGAGGUGAGGCCAGCGGCCAGCACCUUCCGUGCCUGCCCCCUGUGCGCCCGCCUCCCCCACAGCCAGGCCAGGGCCCCAGGGCACAGCAGCCACACGGUGUCUUUGCAGAAGUUCGGCCUCCCUUGGUCCACGAGGAACACUGGUCUCCUCUCUGGUCCAUCUCACGAGAAGUAAGAGGAAGAGGAACCCGCAGAUGCAGGCAAGGAGACCCCAACCUGCCGCUGCUUCCUCCAGCGGGUUUCCCCUCUGCCGCUGAAUGCCGAGGUGUCGGCCCACGUGGAGAAGAAACAGGGCGAGGGCUGGACAGAGUGGCCUGGUGCGACGAAGGACCAGGGCAAGGGUAGGCAGCGUGUCGCUCCCCCACGUACAACCAGCUCAGUCAACAUCAACCUUGAAAAGUGUCAGGAGAUGGGAAGAAUCUAGUGCUGUGUGGCCACGGACAACCUGCUGGCCUUCUCUGGGCCUCUGUCAUUCCAGCCAUAAAAUGAGAGACUUGGUUUCAUCAGUGACCCUGGCUGCUCUGGGGACCUUUUAACACAUGCACUUUCUUGGUCCUAGGUGGGCACCAUUUCAACCCACCCCAGGGGCUUCUAACCGUGGUCGAGAGCCCCUAGCAGGCCCUGUGCAUGGGGAUUACGCGGGUGCCUGUCAGAGAGGCCGCGGCUGGAGUCGGGCUCCGCGCUCACCGGCCGCAGCGGGCCUGGCCUGCACUGCCCAUCUGUGGCUGGCGUCGCCUUCCCUGCCGGGCUGAGGGAGGGUCCAGCGGCCUGGUUUGCCAAGGGUCUGGCGCAUGUCAUGCAGGGACCCGAGAAGCUGCUGCUGGGACCCGUCUUGUCCACAGCGGGCUGCCCCGGCUCGGCCCUGAGCCCAGUGGGUGGGCAGCUGCCCAAGGUGGCCGGGCAGCUCUGUGCCCAGGGCCGUCAGCGCCAGAGCUCUGAAGGCUGGAGCCAGGGGUGGGGGGAUCACUGCACCCAGGUUGCUGCCCCACGGUGACCGCUGGCCGCUGCUGGCAUAUUGGGAGUGACAAGGACGACUCUGGAUUCUGGAAGCCUGGGCUCAGGCCUGGGCCCCAGGGAAGAGGAGGAGGUGAGGGAUCCCCAGCGCUGGGCCCAGGCUUGCUGCAGGGAGCCCAAAGGCCUGGAGUGGGGUCAAAGGUGACUUCAAAAUGUCCUGAGCCUGCUGGCUUCAAGCUCUGCUCUGAGCCCUUUCCACCGACCUCCUCCACCAUCCCAAACCUGAACUUCCAUGGUCUCUGGUUACAGAGGAAACAGCAGAGGCACAGAGAGGUCUACAAGUUGCCCCAGGUCACAGAGCUAGGCAGGAGGAGAGUCAAGUCCAAACUGCACGCGGCAUCGCUGUGCCAUAGACCCCAAGUGUGGCCAUCCAGGUAAAUGUUCAAGUCUGCUGCCUGGCUUCAGAUCCCAGCUCUGCCACUUACGGACUGUGUGACCUUGGGCGAUGUUCUCAGCCUCUCUGUGUUUCUGUUCCCCAUCCAUGAAUGGGGUAAAAAUGGAGUGUGUGCCUUAUGGGGUGAAGGUGGUGCUUAACACGUAAACCAGCCUGGCCCAGCGUCAGCCCACGUUAGUGCAGGCUGUGCUCACCACGGCUGUGUCACGUGUGCAGAUGGCACACUAGGACGCCCAGCAGCAGGUGGCAGGAGGACGUCCACCUGGGUUUCCGUCUUUGACCUCCGUUGUGAUCUCUGGUCAUCAGGGAGACCCUCUGAGCCGGGUGUGGACGGGCCUCACGAGGGCUCUUCUGCCGGUCGGCUGCCUUCUUCAGAGAAACCCGAGGGAGAAUGUGGUCAUUGUCCCUGUGUCCUGAGUCCCAGACGUGGGCGUGCACAGGGGGCAAGACAGGCCAUGCGGGUGACUAGAAAUCUCGGCCCCGCUGCACCUGGGGUCGCCGGCUGCCGUGGCCCUGAGCUCAGGCCUGGGACGUGGGUGCUGCCCCCCCCACUUACCACGGACCUUCAUCCCACGAAGCCUCCUCGGGCCCCAGGGGCUAAGCCCGUCCACACCUUGCCACAUCCAGUGUGAGGCCCGGGGACACAUGGGGCCUGGCCAGGAAUGGAGCCCGAGCUCCGGUGACCGAGUCCGCAGGAGAGCAGCUCCCCCAGGUCAUCCACCAGCAAAGCUCAAGGUGCCCCCUCAAGUCGCCAGAGGGAAGCUGGGUGCCCGGAGAGGCCUGCGGGGCGGGGACUGGGGAGGCAGUGCUCCCAGGGACGAGGAGGGAGUGCAGAGACCAGGAGGGCGCACACAGGGGCCCAGCAGUGCCAGGACCAUGCUGAGCCCCAGAGUGGAAGGGGCCUGGGCCUGGGGGAGACAAAAAGGAAGGAGGGACAGGGCGGGGUCCUCAAGGGCGUUGUGGUCAGGGUUUGGCCUUCAUCCCGAGAUCCAGAAAAACCUGAGAAGAAACCCGGGGCAGGGGCUGAAGUGCUCCCCCACAUUCUGCUGAGAAGGGAUUGGGUAGAGGGUCAGAGUAGACCCCUGCCCGUCACGGCUGUACAGGCCUGGGCCCAGAGCACUACUGGUAAAUGACUCCUCCCCAAAUCCAGUCUUCGACUCACAGAAGUAAAAUUCAGAUCAGAAUCUUCUUAUUAUUUAAUAACUUCUUUUUUCUGAAUGUAAAGUAAACACUCCACACUGCAGGGCGUUGGGCAGUCACCAAAUCUGAAGGACUCUGUGGGAAGGAAGGGUCCGGCUCCUCUCCUGGAGAACCGGGCCUCGGAGCAAGUUAACUCAGGCUUCCAGCCUGUUCUGGGCGUCAGCCUGACUCCCAGGUUCUUUGAUAGGUAGUGAGUCCCCCAUUCCUGGGGGCAUGUAGGCUGUCUACGUGGAGUUAAAAAAAAAAAAAAAAGAAAUUUAAAGCGCAUCCCUCUCAUCCACAUGUAGAUCACACACACGUCACCAUUUGCCUAACUCGUGGACAAGGAGACCAGUAAGGUGACUAGAGGAAUGGAGUGACGAACACCAGAGAAUGAACGCGGUGUCCCUUGUCCUCACACGCCGGGCCUGUUGACAACACUCCAAUCUGACGUGGGAAAGUCCUGCUGUCCUUUCUGCCCAUUUCCAAGUUUCAGGUAACGUUCCUGAGUCAACCUCAGACAAACAGCUGAGAGGGAGGCUGCGGAGGUUCUGGUGGGAGAGGGACUGGCCAGCAGGUCACCUUUUGCUGGCCAGUCACCCCAAAACUUAGUGGCCUGAACAAUCGACAUGCGCUGUGCUGCCAUGUCUAUGGGCCCGGAGUUCCGAACAGCUCCGCUGGGCAUCUCUGGCCGUGGGUCAGCGUGGAUGGCAUUCUUCUGAAGGUGGGACUGGGGCUGACUUGGGACCCACUCCAAGGGGCUCGCCCCCGGGCAGAGAGCUGAUGUGGACUGUCGAUGGGCCUUCUGUGUGGGCCUCUCGGUGGGUUCAAGGAUGUCCUUAAAACAUGGCGGCCAGGCUCUCUCAAAAGUGAUGGAUCCCAGAGAAAAUAAAGCAGAAAGGCAGAAUGUCUUCAAUGACCUUGCCUGGGAAGCCACAGCCCAUCAUUUCUGUAACAUUCUGUUGGGGACCUAGGUCAGCCCUGCCCAUUGUGGGUGGGGACUUCACCAGGGGCUGAAUAUCAGAAGGCGAGGGUCAUGGUGGCAUCUUGGAGCCCAGUCCUAUAGUUGGGUACUCUAGGUCCUUCAGGCAAGAAGUGGGGUUGGGGCGGGCAGCAGGAAGGGCACCUCCAGUGUCCCCGGGGUCCCGGAUCCCUCUUCCUCACCUGCUUGAAGCUGCUACACAGGCAGGGCCCAGGCAAGUGCUUCCACUUCUGAGUCUCUUGUGGUAGCCCCUGACGAGUCUCCAGAGUGGCUUUCCCAUGCCAGUUGCACCCAGAAAUAGUCUCUGGAACAGCUGGGGUGGGGCGUCCAUCAGCCACACCUUGGUGCGAAGCGGUUCAUCUUCUGGGUAGAAACAGCAUGGCAUCUGGGUGGCAGCGGGCGGAGAGUGGGGCCAGUGUUGUACGGAGCAGGGGCCAAGCAGCGCCCCUGGGGAAAUACAGAAGGCAGGAAGGACCCCUUUGCCCAACCAAGGGGGGCCACCGACCAGAGGCCACGCUCCCAGGAGGCCUCCCACCCCGAGUGUCCAGGAGAGGGACCUGGUUCCAAGAGCCUGGAGCCUGGGGUCGCAUCCUGGCUCUUCUUCCCUUAUGUCUGCCGAGACCCCAGGAGACCCUCCCCUCUUGGGUGCUCAGCCCCCCUGGUGGGAGCAGCCAGGACCUGGUGGUGAGUCUGGAGCCAGCUCAGGGCUUCCAAUGGGGUUUGGCCCCUGCCUUGACCGUGUCUUGGGGACAGCCAGACCCCUCCUCCCGCCUCUCCUCCUGGAGGAGGUGGGGCACCAGGAGGGAGGGCGUGGGCCCCUGGGGGCUCCUGCCCAGGGAGGGGGACAGGGUCCGACGGGCUGGAGCUGCAAGUCUGUGAGAACCUCCCAGAGACGGUCACUGGAGGGGGGGGGGGCUGCCGGUUUUGGGGGUAAUUAUUUUGCAAAACUUUAUGAAGUUUCGGAAAAUCUCGUUUCCCCUUCAUUGACUCCAUUGUUUUUCAAGGGAAAUUGAAUUAGAAGCUGGUGGCUGCUGGAGGGGUGGGCAGGGGAGCAAGCGCAUGUUUUUCUAACUAACUGGGCAUCUGUCCUGUGCCAAUAAUUCCAGAAGCUUCUUGCGCUUGGCGUCGGGGACCACCAGGGCUGCACCAGGGAUGGGAGAGGGAGCCCCGGCCGCUCUGGGGACAGUAGCAAGACGGGAGGCCCCCCCAUCGCCCCCUUUCCUGGGCUGGGGGACAGUUGGGAUGUAGCGGAGAAGUGGGGCUCGGCCUUUGGUGCAGGCGCAUGGGCCUAGGAGCAGGCUGUGCAGAGAGCCUGGUGGCCUCUGGUGGCCCCGGGCCUCGGUGUCCCUCCUUGGAGAACUGCAGCCACCAGUGGGGCCCCUGAGGGCGGAGUCGGUUGCAGGCAAGAUGGAACCGGAGCUGCUCUGCAAAGUGAAGUGUGCCCCCGUAUCACUGUGACUGUCACCCACCCUGAUGGGCAGCAUCCUGCAGGCGGGUGCUGGGAUGGGUGCAGGUUGGCCAGGGCCAUGGGAGAGAGCGCGGGGAUCCGCUGGGGACACCUGGUGCAGCUGCAGCUCUGGAGGUGCCCGUCAGGUCUCGCCUGCUCUGACUCCGUCCAGUUCUCCUGGCACAGAGCCCUCAGGAGCCCAGGGAUGUCAAAGGGCCACUUCCUUGUCCCCACACUCACCCGCUGACAUGUCCUCCCUCAGAACCACCCUGGCUCCUGCUGCCGUCAAGGUGAAGGCCCACAUUUCUAGAUGCCCUCGGACCUGGUACCAAGCGCCUCGGGCAUGUGCUGUCCCUGGUCCCCGCCUCCUGGUCCUGCCACAGCCCAGGGAGCAGCUUCCCCUCCCGCACCCCACGCCCAGCCCCCAGCACGUGCUCUCUCCUGCGAACAGUGAGCGGGCAGCGGCUGUGACAGGCCCGGUGAGUUCAUGGUGUCCGUCUCCCCUUUCCUGCGCACAGCGAGGCACACGGGUCCCCUGAGUAAUGAGAGGAGUGUCCCAGCCCUCAGGAGGGGGCAGCUUCCUCGCUGGAUCCCGGGCCUCUGAAUUCCUUUCCAGUGCUCCUCCCAGGCCCCUGCUGUCCACCCCCCACGCCCCGUGUCACCUCUCGUGGCUUCCCAGGGCCACUGAAGCCGUGCCCCUCUCCUCCCUCCACAUCCCUUCAGAAGCAGCGGAGACCCGGAUGUGGCCACUGCCUAGCUGUGUGACUCAAGAAUGGAGGAAACCCUGGUGGAAUCCCGCUGUCCUUUUCCAGGACUCAAGACGUCCAUCUGUCCCCUGGAAAUGCUCCCAGUAGGCCACUCUGGAGAUCUGACAGAGCUUUUAUUGCUAAGUGUGAAUGAGCCAGUGCAGAGGAGCCCAGGGCUGGGGUCUAGAUCACUCUUCUCUCUCACUGUGUGGCCUUGGACAAGUACCUUACCCUCUCUGGGCCUCCUUCUUCAAGGGAUCUCUCCACCUCCAACAGACAAGGCUCCUUUGUGUCCCUAACAUAGUACAGGUCUGGGACUGCCUUGGAGAUAUAGUAUGGACCCCAUUGUCCCCUGCUCUGAGGACCUGGGCUCCCGAGCCCCAUGCUGGAGCCCCUUCCUACAGGACCCUGUGUCUCGGGCUGCCACAGUGGAGGUACCCGAGACCCCUGAUUGGCCCACCUGGGCUCCAGAAGCUCCUAAGUCCACCCCAGGAGGCAGCUCUGCUCUCCCAAGUGUUCUGCGAACUACAAUACCUCGGAAGGAAGCCAACGUUUAGUGAAGACAUUGACCUUGUCAACAAAAAUAAAAACAAAGCCCGUAUUUCACGAAUGUGCACACGCUGGCUCUGACUGAGGUCUUCUGGCUUCUCGAUGGUGUGACAGUGUGUGUCUGCAGAACGUACUUCAUGCUUCCAACUUGGGUCUUCUCCUGGGCUAGCAAUAGGAGCAUCCUGUUCCUGUCCCCUGGGCUUGGGCUGUUACUAAGCUCCGGGGGCAGCAGGCUCGGUGGCUGAAGGCAUUUGAGACUUGAGUUCACACUUACCAGGACGUAACCCGUGGUGAGCUGCGCGGCAUCUGUGUGCGUUGUCUGCAUAAACACAGAGCUCGUUACAAAACAUCAUAAAGGGAGGUUCCACCCACUCAACAGAAACGGGGAAGAGUCGGGGGACGCGGACUCUGCCUGCUGGACAUGUCCACACGCUCCACAGCCACCUCCAGCUGCCGCUUGGCCUUGGAGCCCUGCUCCUGCUCCUCCUCGGGGCUCCGGGAAGCGGAGUCCAGCCUCCGGGCUUUGCUCUGGAAGUUUCCGCACCUGAAGGGGCCUCCAUUCAGGGUGGUCUUGCUGUUCUCCAAGGCGAAGGCGAGGGUGGUGGGCAAGGGUUUGGGGCCCUGAGCUCAGAAAGGCCGGGUCCCGGUGCCACCUGCACCCCUCCUGCGACUUACGCAGGCCCUAGAGCCUCGGGUCUCUGAAGGGGAUCCCGAGUGUGUCCUCCAUCUGCUCUGAGUUGCUCUAAGGUGCCAAGGACGCUGCCUGGCAUGGGCUCUCUGCAGGAUUUUAGGACACCAGCGAUUAAAUAAUCACGAGAGCCACAGAUAGCACACCCUUGCUGACUGCUCAGUGCAGGCCCUUCUCGCCUCCCUCAGCAGGGGACACAGUGUGGCAAUGUGGUGCCACCUGUCCAGAAACCGUCACCUUGUUCCCAGGACAUGCAGGGCCUAACAUGUCAGGUUGAGUGACCAAGCACCCAGCAUGGCUGCCUCGGGUCUGGUCAUCACCGACACACUGCUUGAGCACCGGCGGCGCACCCUGGCUGGGACUGGUUAACUGCAUCCCUCGACCUCCCCUUGUGAUGCCUAAAUUUCCCAAGACGUGUGGUAUGCAGUAGGUGCUCAGCAAAUGUGUGUUGCUGGUGGGGCUGCGGGUGCAGAGGGUGGACCAGCUGCAGGAUCCCAUCAAAGCCCGACCUCAGGGCAACCGCCACCCGGAGCCGAUCCCAGACGGUCUGAGACUUUGAUUUUCAAACCGCAUGAAUGUGUCGCUAAUGGCUCAGCCGCUACUGUUGCAUAGCAAAUUACCCCCAAAUGCAACAGCUAAAGCAACUGUUUUAUUUCGCUGGGACGUUGUGGUCAGGAAUACGAGAGGCGUGGCCGGCAUUUCUUGUUUGGGGUCUCCUAGGCCACUGUGGUCAGAGGCUGGCCGGGGCUGUGUCCAUCUGAAGGCUUGACAGGCUGGAAGUCCAAGUGGAAGCCUCACACAGCUGGUGGCCGAUGCUGCCUGGUGGCCAGGAGCUGGGCGGGCCGGUGGCUGGAGGGCUCCAUGUGGCCUCCCAGGGUGGCAGUCUGUGUGAAAGCUGGCUUCUCCUGCACGAGCCUCCCUGACCCACCAGGCUGCGGCUGUGCCGCCUUUUACAACCCAACCUCGGAGGUCACUUUGUGUCCCCUUCAUCACACUCUGGGUGGAAGCAGACACAAGGCCACCCAGAUUCACAGGGAGGGGGGCACGAAGCCCACCCCUUGAAGAGUAUCAAAGAAUUUGAGCCA
rnacentral:lncRNA from 1 species